AGUCAUAGCUCCCUGAUUCUUCUGCAGAGAGGGGAGGACCUAAGUUUGUCCCUAGGAGGAUGAGCUUUACUCCUGCUUUCAGAAUUCUGCAGUCCUGGGAGGACAUAGAACUGCACUAGACAUCAGAAUAAAACACUUUAAUCUUCUGUGGACCACACCGUGCCUACUGGAGUCCAUUGCUGGAGACAUACAGAAACAAACAAGUACAAUGCAGUAUGAUACUGUUCUUUUGCAAGGAAAAACACACCCUCCAGGUUUUGAAUUCCUGAAAGGUA